GCAGGUGAAUUCGUUCUUUGACAAAGUCUCUUUGUUUUCUGUUUCGAUUUUCAUUUUUUUAAUUUACCAAAAAAAAAAGUUUUGUGAAUUUGUUUUUCUUAAUGUUCACUUGGUGCAAUUUACUUCUCUUAGCUAAGCAACAACACAAAGUCAAGAAUCAGGUGCAGUACCUCUAAAGUCUGAAUGCAUAGCAAGUUGUUGAUAUUCAAUACCCAUUUGGAAUAGAAGCCGGUUGUUACUUGAUUGAGUGGUUCAGAGUAACUUGCAACAAAACAUCUAUGAAAGGCGUUGGCACAUGGGCGGUUACGUUGCAAGUUUCUCUGACCCACUCAUUCAGGAAACAGUCGGUUUCUAUUCCAAAUGGGUAUUGAAUAUCAACAUGUCCACAACUUGCUGCACCUUCAGACUUUAGUGGUACUAUGCUUGAUUCUUGGCAUUGUGUUGCUGCUUGGCAAGAAGAAGUAAAUUGCACAAGUGAACACCAAGGAAAACAAAUUCACAAACAUUUUAUUUUUGGGUAAAUUAAAAAAAUGAAAAUCGAAACAGAAAACAAAGAGACAUUGUCAAAAAUUGCUAGUGAAUACUGGUAGUGAGUAGCUGGUGACCUUCCAAAUCGCAUUUGAUGGUAUUCCACCAGGAAAGGAAGGAAUGGAAACAGGUCAAUGCUGAUGUUUCCACUACUUAAUGACAAUGGACUCGUGAUGAAUUGCUUUUGGCUCCUUCGAAAGUUUACGGGCAGUGUAUAGGGGGAUAUAUAUAUUUUGCCUUGUACAGAUUCUUGGUUCUAACUGGCAUUAUUUUUGUAAGCCAGUAUAUUUUGUGAUCUGACUUUUAUCUCAAGUCAGAUUUUCUUUUGUAAAUUGCAGGGGUUCCCUUGUCUUGAUGAAAGGAAAUUAACUUUUCAGAAAAAAAA